AAAUAACUGCCACCGGGUAGUGAAUGCAUUGCAUUCGUUUUCGCAUCGUUAGGUCUUUGAAGAUGCGAAUACGGGUGCUUAUUUUUU
rnacentral:ncRNA from 1 species